GAUACUUGGAAUCGUUCGGAUGGAUCUAGGAUGGUAUACCAAUAACGUCCUCUAAUGGAAUUAUCAGCCCGACAAGAUCCAGGACUCUUUUGUUGACGCGCGCACGUGGACCCGUCUUACUCCAUUGUGGAUCCACCGACUGUCGUCUCGCUCCUAAAUCGAACCAAAGGAAACGAAACGGGAUGAUACAGUCAAAGGAGAUAUUGCAUCACGGAAUCAGAGCUCCCUUGGCUCUAAGACUUGAUCGUAAUGCUUCCAUUAUUCGCAUCGCCUACACUCACGCUCUAAUAAAACUUAAGCCUCGGGCUCUAUACAAAACUUGGAUGUAAAAUAUCUGAUCUUCUACAAUCUCUUUGUGAUCCUCUGAUCUCAGGAGGAGGAUGUAUUCCAUCGGAUUCUCUAAGUGACAAGAGCUCCAGAGUGGAUCCUGUGAACUGCAGACUCUCGGACGACUCGUGCAAGUCACGAAAUCCAUUGUGUCCUGCCUUGAGAUCUUCUUCGUGGUCUUUUAUUUUGGCCCGUUACGGCAGAUAUAGUGGCUCUAGUGGCCGCACUGUUGAUAAAACAGAUAAACGCUUCAGGAACGUUCACCGACGAUGGGAUAGUCACCUUCUAGACACCUGGACACCCGGACAACUGCCUGCUUCUUCGGACACCCCGCGAAGAGCAUCGAUACGGUCAUUGAAAUAAAACAAUUUCAAUAUAAUAAGUCCUUCCUAUAGAGGCACUGACUCGAUAGAUUUUUCUGACUGGUCUUGCUCCCAUGAGGCCCAAGAAAACUGUCCCUCUUGGGCACUGUAUACUCUGGCUCCCCACUGCAGGACUGUCGCACAGCAUCCUUGGACCCUCUGUGAAAACAGGAACAGGAUUGGAUCAGACGAAGUUAUUCAGUGGAAAUAUUUUGUACCUGCUGAACUCGUGGGAAGAAACGAAAUUUGGAUAAUUGGUACCCUUUUUUUUUUGAAAGGACAGACAUUACCACACAAGAUAAUUACGUAUUGUCAAUGGAUGUUAGAAGAGUUUAUUCUCUUCACUUUGGAAGAUGCUGCUUAUAAGUUAAUUAUUUUCCUGCCAGGAAUAGUGAGAUAUAUAUUUUCUGCGUUCUUUGAAAUUCAAAAAUCCAUCUCGCUGUUGCGCCAAAUGAAGUCACAACUUGGACAGCGGGUGGCCAAGGGAUUGCAGGGUUCUCUUGGCGUAGGGAAAAGAUCACGAGGUACCAUUGUGAGGCGGUCGUGAGAGGCGUGGGAGCUUCACGGCGGUGCCUUUCAUCUUAUUUCACCCUCGCGCCACCCUUCGCCCGUCAACCUAUUGUGACAUGACACCCCCGCGGUGCCGUGCACCAGCCCUGACCGUGCAUACGGGACGGCUACCGUCUUCUUCGGGAUCCUCAUGGAGUCAGAGAAGUUAGUAGGGUAAAAGAAGAAGAAGAAAAAAAACGAAGAAAUGGAUGGCAAUGCUUAAAGAAAGGCCCAAAGAAAACGUGCCGACACGUAACUAAAGUGCGCAGAUCUCGCGCGAACGCUUCACUAUGAAGUGGGGUGUCAAAAGUGCCGACACCUGAUCAUUCACUGUCUACCAUUCUUAAGGAAGAAAAAAAAGAAUUGGUACCAAAAUGACAACAAUCUGUAUCGAUUAUCCAGGUAGCCCAGGUAUACUUAGUACAGUACUAAAAUAUGAAUGGACCACUAGAAAAAUAUAAGUUCCUAGCAAGGGUUGCCGUAUGUUUAUAAUACGGUAGCUGCUUACGGGAAAACUCAUUUAAGAAUUUUCUUCAACAGUUAAGAUUGUAUUAUGGUUGAUUAAUGAGAUGGGAUCCUGGUAGCGCUGCUCUGAGCACAGAUCCUGCUACCUGGACACUUUUAAACAAUGAUCAUCCUCACGGCAGGGGUUACCAUUUUUGUACCAUCAUUAAUUACUAGCUACUUUCCUCUGGGGAAACAUCACGUCCUAAGGCUAUCACGUUAAGAGUGAUCGAUAAUGCAAGAUCAAUAUGAUAAUUAUAUAUCCGAAGAAAGUCAACAAAACUGAAAGACGUAUAUGGGUAGCAUAUAUGAAAUUCGCGGAAUUGUUAAAAGAUUCUGGUCUUUAUGAUAAUACUAGUGGCAUCAGACUGCUGCAUAGUUGCAGAUCAGAUUAAAACAGGACUUGAGAAAUCUCACAUCUACCAAAGCUGGAUGAGCUACUUUGGUCCAAGACAUCCAUCAUUUCUCCGGGGCAUCCUUCAUUUCGCGCAUUCCCUUCCUUCUUCAGCUUCAGAAGAAGAUAGCAGAAAGAAAAACAAGAAAAGUUUCCCAGCCAAGACUAAAGAUGAUUUUUCAAGCUAGAAACAGGCCCACAAGUCCCCAUUCUUGCACGAAUCACCCCGUAGAUGAGGACUACGAUAGGGACGCCCACAUAUACAUGAGAAUGCCAGCACAAUGCGGCACUCGGCCUUUGGCUCCAUUAUACAAUUCAAUUUGUUAAUAGCACUAUCGAUAUAUCGAGAUGGAUGGGUAUCUCUGGAGUAGAAACAAAGGGGCGGUGCACCCUGGUAAGAAAUCCUUUUAGCAGACAAUGCGCCGACAGUACAGCAUCCCGUGAGAGUCCAUGCAAAUGGCGAUAGAAUAGAAUUCGAUUGAUUUAAAUAGACUUGCUACUCGGAAGGGUCUGUAAAGAAAUUAAUUUUAAAUUCUUAAAAAAAAAUAUAUAUAUCCAAGCUACGUCCACAGUCACAAGGAGAA